rnacentral:tRNA from 1 species
GCUCUCAUAAGUCAAGGGAUAGACUGACUCUCUCCUAAAGAGUAAAUACUGGUUCGAGUCCAGUUGGGAGUA